rnacentral:misc_RNA from 1 species
AACAGAGAAAAAGAAGAAGAAGAAGGGAAUUCUCCAUCGCAAGAAAAUGCACCACGUCUCUGGUAACUCACCUCGCUGAAAUCUAGUCUGUAACCAUUCCAUCCUGGCAGCUCAUUCACUGCAAGACUCCUUGCCGGAAGAUUCAAGGAGAACGGAUUCAUCGCACUUAUUCUUCCUUGUCAUUUCGCUCUGUUCAACGCCAAAACGUUGAUUAGCAUCUCCUUUAUUUGGGGUAAUUUUUUCAAAACUUGCGUUAGUACACAAUUAACAUAUUUAUUGUAUUGAAUUUCACGAGUAAGUCAUUAUCUAUUUGAUUCGAGUGGGCUGCUUUUUUAUGGAUGUUUAAAGUUAAAGUUUUAUGUAAAUUCAUUGAUUUGAAUUGGUUGGGGAUAGAUGAUUCAAUUCUAUUAUUGCUUAAAGCUUGAUUGAAAACCAAUUUGCUUAUAGAGUAUUUCAAUCUAAAUUUGCAUAUGGUUCAUGGAUUUGGGUGGCGUGUGUUCAG